UGGGUCUCGCUGAUGUGUCUGAGUCACUCUGCGUGGGUGUAACGCUGCUCUGGUUGUUAUUAAUCUCUCUGAAGCCUCUUUGCAGUGAUUAAGGGAGCACUGUAUGAAAGCAGUCUGCUGCGUGGGCUCUCACCAAGAAAGACCCACUAAGUGGAUUUUGCCAGAUCCUUUAGCCAAACUGCUCUUUUCUUGGCAACUGCAGCGUGCAUCAACAUAAAUGUAAAGUCAAUUUCUAGUGUAUUUUUAAUGUCCUUUAUUCAUGUUUUUUGGACACGGCACAAACCACUAAAAUGAAAGCACAGUACUUAAUGUAGCCAGUCACUUUUCUGAUGUGCCAGUGUGUAUAAAUAAGCCUGAGCAGGAGACAAGAAUUCACAGUUAAAAGACAGAAAGAACAAGCAUGCAUGUUCUUACUGGUGAUUGUCUUUGAGUGAAGAAGGGAUUUCAGUGGUCCUCUUGUGAGGGACGAGCAAGGAGUGGAGCUGGACCCCCAGUUGGCAUCCAUAACAGCCCAACAAGUGGCCAGGGAUCUGCUCUGCUAAGGCAGCUUUUUUCCAAGCUGACUGCUAAGGACUGGGUUUCUGGGGAGCAGAAGAGCUGCGCUCUCACCAAGUUUGCUGUGGAGAUGAGAUCAUAUGGAAGUGGCCAGCAGAAACAUAGAAGAGAGCAUGAGAUCUACUAUGCCCAGAAGGCCUCUGAAACCUCCGAAAUUUCUUCUCUCUGUAAGGCCAGCAAGUUCAUCCUUAAGAAGGCAGAGAAGAAUGCCCAGAUGGGAGAUAUACUCAGGAACAAGAAGAUGGUUGAUGUACUGUGGACCACCUCUGAAUUCAGGACAUUCCACACACUCUAAUGACUUCUCUUUUUGAGGAAUAUUCCUAGCAUUGUGUCUGUUCACCCUGGUUAUGCUUCCUAACCGCUUUUCUUUCUGUCCUCACACACCCUUCUCCUAUCCCCUUCUCAGUAAAAUGCUGCAUAGGGAUGCAGAGCAGCUUGGCACUGGACUUUCAAUAUAUUUAAACACAAGCAAUUCACUGAGCUGGAAAAUUGUAAAUCUGCAAUUUUAUUUAAAAAAGUGGUCACACUGUUCUUUGAAGCCAUGUUUAGAGACAGCAGGAUAAUUAAUAGACCUUUGUGUGAUACAGAGGCAAAGGAUGACAAAUUUUAAUAAAAUUGGUAGGAUUUGUUUUUUAAAUUUUAAGAAGCAAAUUUAUGUGCCUAGUUUUACUUACUGUUACAAGAAGAGAAAGGAUGUUAAAAACAUCCUGUGCAGGUUAAAGCACUGUCACACAACACCUUUUUCCUCUGAACUAACAUUAAGGGGGCAACAACAGGCACUGAGGCAUUAGUAAUGUCUGCUCAGUGCGUAUGCAGUGCCUGCCCUGCACCAUGUCUAGACACCUUCCUAGCAUUUCAUGUAACAGCAUUUCAAACCAAACCAGAGAGAGACCAGAGCUGUCAUCAUAGCUCAUUCCAGUUAUUAAGCACACCUUCACUUGAUGUGCUGCUCGGAAAGUGAAGCAAGACACACAACAAAAGUAAAAGACGUUUAAAGUGGCCAACAUAAGAGAUGAGGCAAGAGCCAACCAAAGUGAAAAAUAAAGGUGAACAUUUUCAAAGGUAGGAAAGGAGACUCUCACAUAGAGGGAGAGAAUAACUGAAAUGAAACAGAACUUGUCAUCAUCCUUUUUAAGAAAUGCAACUGGACUGACGUAGCUGUACUGAAUUAUGGAUGAUGUCGUGAAUUAUGUGUGCAAAGAACCACUACACAGAUGAGAUAGCACCAGUUUGGAGGAGAAAAAGACCACAGAGCUGUAUUUCCUGGCCACAAAAAUACAGAAGAAGUGAUGAGAGAAACAACAGCUUCUUGAGAGAAAUCCAUUUGAAUUAAGGACAGGGUAUGAAUUUACAGUGGAGUACAAGGAAAACCGUGAAUUAGCGAAGGCACUUUAGGAGGAAUAUGUCUUCCAGAAUAAGCCUUGAAGACAGGUAAGCCCUGUGGGAAACAAAGGACUCUGCAGAGAAAAUGGGCAGUAGGGCAGCUGUUGAGUAGUCUCUUGGUUGCUGACAGUUGCAUUUGUUAGAUUAUUCCAAUUUCAUAAUACUUAAAUUAAGUGGUUGGCUGGGACUUGCGCCUUCAACACUCCUGGAAGGAGCUCUGCUGAUUAAAGAGAAAUGAAAUAUCAGAUGAAAACCAGACGUAUUCCACUCCUUCUGUUUUCUGCCAGCUCUGUCAUUCAGUGUCUGUAAUAUACCCAUCGUGCAGGAACUGAGUCAUGUGCCUAGGUCCCUCAUUUACAGAGCAUGUCCUGCAAACACUGAACAUAGCAGAAACGGUGUUUGACAGUGUUAUCUGUCAAGGGUAACUAUUAAUUCAAUCUCAUGAUACUUAAAGUAGAACAGAAUAUCAAUUUGUUUCGCCACUUAUGUUAAACUGCAACAUUUAGGAAUAUAGUCUGUGUAGUAAAAGAACAGCAUCUGCUGUGAGCUUGGAAAACAAAUUACUAUUGCUUGUUACCAUCUUUGCAUAAAUAUUUGGGGAAUUGGUAUUUUAUUUUUUUUAUUUUGCAAAGGAUUCUCUCUUCAAUUAGUCCCACAGCCUCUCUGGGUUCUUAUUUUCUUUGCUCUCAGCAGUUGUGCGCAGUUACAGCAAAUCAGGCCUCAUGAACCACAGGCACUUGCACACUUGUUUCCAUAGCUGGGUACAGCACUCAGUGAGAGGAUCUACUCAGGCAUAUGGCCUGCAAUAAGCUGAGCUCCAACGAGCUGGAACUUCCUGCUUUAACAGUUAUUUGGCCAUUUGUUUUCAUGCUGCAGCUCUUCGAUU
ensembl:lncRNA